UACGUAGGGUGCGAGCGUUAAUCGGAAUUACUGGGCGUAAAGCGUGCGCAGGCGGUUCUCCAAGUCCGGUGUGAAAGCCCCGGGCUCAACCUGGGAAUGGCAGUGGAAACUAGGGGACUGGAAUCUGGCAGAGGGGGGUGGAAUGCCGCGUGUAGCAGUGAAAUGCGUAGAGAUGCGGCGGAACACCGAUGGCGAAGGCAGCCCCCUGGGCUGAGAUUGACGCUCAGGCACGAAAGCGUGGGGAGCGAACAGG
rnacentral:rRNA from 1 species